GGCCGGUAAUAUGGACUCAGUAGUAGAGCAUUCGACUGCUGAUCGAGAGGGCCCCGGUUCAAACUCGGGGGCCC
rnacentral:tRNA from 1 species